rnacentral:rRNA from 1 species
CCUAACACAUGCAAGUCGAACGAACCUUCGGGUUAGUGGCGGACGGGUGAGUAACACGUGGGAACGUGCCUUUUGGUUCGGAACAACUCAGGGAAACUUGAGCUAAUACCGAAUGUGCCCUUCGGGGGAAAGAUUUAUCGCCAUUAGAGCGGCCCGCGUCUGAUUAGCUUGUUGGUGAGGUAAAGGCUCACCAAGGCGACGAUCAGUAGCUGGUCUGAGAGGAUGAUCAGCCACAUUGGGACUGAGACACGGCCCAAACUCCUACGGGAGGCAGCAGUGGGGAAUCUUGCGCAAUGGGCGAAAGCCUGACGCAGCCAUGCCGCGUGAAUGAUGAAGGUCUUAGGAUUGUAAAAUUCUUUCACCGGGGACGAUAAUGACGGUACCCGGAGAAGAAG